rnacentral:tRNA from 1 species
CUCGCGCCCGCUCACGUGCACGAUCAGCACCGCGAUCGCAAAGAUCGGCAGCGUCUCGAAGAGGUUCGCCUGCGCGCGCAUCAGGCGUGCGCAGAACCUCCCGGGUGGCGGCACGGGGCCGUCGCGCGGGC